AGCCUCCCAAAGUGUUGGGAUCACAGGCGUGAGCCACCAUGCCCAGCCCAGUUACAGAUUUUUUUCUUCCUUCUCCACUCCCACUGCUGCACUUGACCAGCCUUUA
rnacentral:sRNA from 10 species